GUACAAGAACCAAGAAUAUCAUGAUUUUAGUAAGUAGGCAUUAAUAUAAUAUUUGAAACAAUGACAACAUAUCUAAUGGUUAUCGUUCGUAACCGUUUUGUGGUAAUGAUCUCAGUAUAACGAUGAGUAAUGUAUAUAUACAAAUAUAUAUAUAACGAGACAAUAAAUACGCAACAACGAUCGAUCAACGCUUGUGAAAUGUUGAGAAUGAUUACAAAUCUGCCGUCAGUCGGAUGCAAGUUGCACUUUCGCAAGCCGUUUGUUCACCAGAUGAGGGAGAAUUACGCCAUGUGAGUAUCAAGUCGUCUCUGGUGUGGCGCUAGAAGCGUGUGAAUCCUCUUCGCUGCCAACAUGGCGGCGAACUGUGACGCUGCGUCAGAUCCCCCCACCACAUCAGACAGGGACACGAGCGCGUUGUAUGCCGCCUCACCGUAGUUACGCACCCAGAGUGAUAGCUGGAAAUUGCCUCGAGCUGCAGCCUCUGGUCGUCCAGUGUGUAAGCGGUGUCGUUGAGGCCGUACAGGCCGCGGGUCGCGUGCGCCACCCUCAGCCUCAUGAGAGCCUCCUCCACCCGCAGCUUGCGCCACGCCUCCCGACGAGCCUUCACCUCCUUAUCGCCGCCGGAUACGUUCAGCAUCGACGUCUUCAGCCGACUUUGCUGGAAUUAACAAUCAUAUUGUAUUAGAGGAAAUCAUCUAUGAUGGGUUUUGUGAAGUUAUACUAAUAAACGCGAUUGGAAUGUC